GAAACCAUGAGUAUUGUGAUUGCCACACAAAAACUGUCCAUCUGGGAGCCCAUCAGAUGCCACUGUCACUGAGAUAAGUGUCUGUUUUGCUGAGGGUUCUGCUCAUGGCCCAUCUGACUCCGGGUAGAUACGUCCCGUUAGCUAGGGCUGGGUUUGUAAGAAAAGGUUCCAGACUAGCUGUGGUUACUAGGGAGACAAGGUCCCCAUUUUCAGCGGCUGCUCAUUUCUCUGGCCAGAAGCGGUGUGUCCUCCGCAGCAGAAGGUUUCAUCUAGGAAGAUGACUCCAGUUUGCAGAGGAAUCAUCCAGGAGCCCUAGCUGGAGGAGAAGGUGGUAGAAGUAGAUUUGAGCAGCCUGGACAUCCUUCUAAAGAGACAUGAAUAGGCAUCAUAUUGCUGUCUUCUGAAUAACUGGCUGUGAGUAAAAGUUCCUACUGAGAUUGGUUAGAGGAGAGAUCUGCCAACCUGUGGCAGAGACCAAAGAAGGAGCAGCAACCCUGAGCCCAUCCCUUGGGAUGAAAGCCAGACAGUGAUCUGCAGGGUAAAGAAGUGCUACCCAAAGACUGUAGCAGCCCUGCCACUCCUUGGAACCAGGAGACUGGAUCUAUGCAAAGGUCCACCAAUGAAAGACUCCCCUGGCUCCAUGCUGGAAGGGCCCUUUCCAAGUCCUAUUAAUCACCAGUACUGCACUGAAGUGCCAAGGAUUGACUGUCUGGACCCACGCUUCUCACUGCAAAAAUACCCCUCCACCUUGGGAGGAUUCUCCUACUGAUGAUUAGCCUAUUUCUCCUUCUAGCUCUGCUGUGCCUUCUGGACAGCAAGGAAAAAGGACAAGGUGAAGCGCUAGUAACCUCUCCCUUGUCCAGUGAUAGAUCUACUGUGCCUUUGGAUUUCUCUAGAAGAAGCAAAACCAUUACAGGGUGAUGUGCUAGUAACCUCUCUCCUGUAGGAUGCUGAGCCACGCUUGCUUCAGGAAAGGAGGAGGAUCACUUGCUCCACUGAAAUUGCCAAAGUCCAGGAAUUCCUUACUAGAAAGGACAUUAAG